rnacentral:tRNA from 1 species
GGCCAGUUAGCUCAGUCAGUUGAGCGUAGCGCUAACAACACUAAGGCCAUGGGUUCGAUUCCCAUUCGGUCCC